rnacentral:rRNA from 1 species
UACGGAGGGCGCAAGCGUUGUUCGGAAUCACUGGGCGUAAAGCGCGUGCAGGCGGCUUGGUAAGUCGGGUGUGAAAUCCCGGAGCUCAACUCCGGAACUGCACCCGAUACUGCCUCGCUAGAGUCCCGGAGAGGAUGGCGGAAUUUCCGGUGUAGAGGUGAAAUUCGUAGAUAUCGGAAGGAGCACCAGCGGCGAAGGCGGCCAUCUGGACGGUGACCGACGCUCAUACGCGAAAGCGCGGGGAGCAAACAGG